rnacentral:rRNA from 1 species
CCUACGGGUGGCAGCAGUGGGGAAUAUUGGGCAAUGGAGGCAACUCUGACCCAGCAACGCCGCGUGAAUGAUGAAGGUCUUCGGAGUGGAAAGUUCUGUGAUGGGGGAUGAACACAAUGACGGUACCCCAAUAGCAAGUCACGGCUAACUACGUGCCAGCAGCCGCGGUAAUACGUAGGUGGCAAGCGUUAUCCGGAUUGACUGGGCGUAAAGGGUGCGUAGGUGGUUUAGUAAGUUGGCGGUGUAAUUACGCGGCUCAACCGUGGCGCUACCGCCGAAACUAGUAGACUAGAGUGCAGGAGGGGUGAGUGGAAUUCCUGGUGUAGCGGUGGAAUGCGUAGAUAUUAGGAGGAACAUCAGGGGCGAAGGCGACUUAC